UACGUAGGGUGCGAGCGUUAAUCGGAAUUACUGGGCGUAAAGCGUGCGUAGGUGGUUCGUUGUGUCUGUGGUGAAAGCCCCGGGCUUAACCUGGGAAUGGCCAUGGAAACUGGCGAGCUGGAGUGUGGCAGAGGGGGGUGGAAUUCCGCGUGUAGCAGUGAAAUGCGUAGAGAUGCGGAGGAACACCGAUGGCGAAGGCAGCUCGCUGGGACGUUACUGACGCUGAGACGCGAAAGCGUGGGGAGCAAACAGG
rnacentral:rRNA from 1 species